UACGUAGGGGGCUAGCGUUGUCCGGAUUUAUUGGGCGUAAAGAGCGUGUAGGCGGCCAGGUAGGUCUGCUGUGAAAACUCGAGGCUCAACCUGGGAACUGCAUUGGAAACUAACGGGCUCGAGUGUGGCAGAGGGGGGUGGAAUUCCACGUGUAGCAGUGAAAUGCGUAGAGAUGUGGAGGAACACCGAUGGCGAAGGCAGCCCCCUGGGCUAACACUGACGCUCAGGCACGAAAGCGUGGGGAGCAAACAGG
rnacentral:rRNA from 1 species